AAUACGAAUAUGUGAGUCAAAAUCUGAAGCAAUAAAAUUAUUGUCAGAGAAUUAAAGGUGAAGUUAUGCAACAGCAUUGUUAUGGUGCUGGUAUUUAAUUGGCAGAAGUAUGGCCAGAGACAGCUGCCCCUGAAUAAAACAUCAGAGUUUUCAUGCAUGGUUACAUAAAUCUCCGGUUUGAAGCUGGAGGCAAGCAGAUCCCCAGAGAUGCAGGAGAUAAAUGGAGGCAGAGUACCUUGUGCCAGGAGGGGGUGACUGGCACCACUCGGAGCUGAGCUGCCUCGCACUGCUGCAAUUUCUCCUUGAGCUGG
rnacentral:lncRNA from 1 species